CAGCCGCCGCGGUAAUACGAAGGGUGCAAGCGUUAAUCGGAAUUACUGGGCGUAAAGCGUGCGUAGGCGGUGAGUUAAGUCUGCUGUGAAAUCCCCGGGCUCAACCUGGGAAUGGCAGUGGAUACUGGCUCGCUAGAGUGUGUCAGAGGAUGGUGGAAUUCCCGGUGUAGCGGUGAAAUGCGUAGAGAUCGGGAGGAACGUCAGUGGCGAAGGCGGCCAUCUGGGACAACACUGACGCUCAUGCACGAAAGCGUGGGGAGCAAACAGGAUUAGAUACCCCUGAGUCCCUGUCUCUUAUACA
rnacentral:rRNA from 1 species